UACGUAGGAGGCGAGCGUUGUCCGGAGUUACUGGGCGUAAAGGGUGCGCAGGCGGCGGUUCGCGUGGCGAGAUGAAAUCUCCUGGCUUACCUGGGAGGAUGGUCGCCAGACGGGAUCGCUUGAGGGUCGGAGAGGGGCGUGGAAUUCCGGGUGUAGCGGUGGAAUGCGUAGAGAUCCGGAAGAACACCGGUGGCGAAGGCGGCCUGCUGGGCAGUUGCUGACACUGAGGCGCGACAGCGUGGGGAGCAAACAGG
rnacentral:rRNA from 1 species